GAUGAACGCUGGCGGCGUGCCUAAUACAUGCAAGUCGAGCGAACGGACGAGAAGCUUGCUUCUCUGAUGUUAGCGGCGGACGGGUGAGUAACACGUGGAUAACCUGCCUAUAAGACUGUGAUAACUUCGGGAAACCGGAGCUAAUACCGGAUAAUAUUUUGAACCGCAUGAUUCAAAAGUGAAAGACGGUCUUGCCGUCACUUAUAGAUGGAUCCGCGCUGCAUUAGCUAGUUGGUAAGGUAACGGCUUACCAAGGCAACGAUGCAUAGCCGACCUGAGAGGGUGAUCGGCCACACUGGAACUGAGACACGGUCCAGACUCCUACGGGAGGCAGCAGUAGGGAAUCUUCCGCAAUGGGCGAAAGCCUGACGGAGCAACGCCGCGUGAGUGAUGAAGGUCUUCGGAUCGUAAAACUCUGUUAUUAGGGAAGAACAGAUGUGUAAGUAACUGUGCACAUCUUGACGGUACCUAAUCAGAAAGCAACGGCUAACUUCGUG
rnacentral:rRNA from 1 species